ACAAAAUGAAUGAACCAUUUGUGUACAGUCUCUCACAUUCCUCUCCAGCAAAUUCAAGGUUUUACCAUUUACUGAGUUUCAAGGACACAUCUACACCACAACAAGUUCAUGCUACAGACAAAUGAAGUCUACCCCUCGAAGAUGCCUGAUUUGAAGCUGACAGGUGUCGAGAUUCAACGAUGUCUUCUCCAUAUCAACAGGUCAUCUUUCAAGUGCUUCGACGAUGACGACUUGAUGCUGUUCAAUGAUGAUGAAUAUUUCUAGUAUGGCCUACGACAGCUGCCCACCUUAGCAAGCUGACAGCUGCCCGCCUGGAAACAAA